rnacentral:rRNA from 1 species
GAUUUCAACAAUGAAGCGAGUGGCGAACUGGUGAGUAACACGUGGGAAAUCUGCCCAGAAGCAGGGGAUAACACUUGGAAACAGGUGCUAAUACCGUAUAACAACAAAAUCCGCAUGGAUUUUGUUUGAAAGGUGGCUUCGGCUAUCACUUCUGGAUGAUCCCGCGGCGUAUUAGUUAGUUGGUGAGGUAAAGGCCCACCAAGACGAUGAUACGUAGCCGACCUGAGAGGGUAAUCGGCCACAUUGGGACUGAGACACGGCCCAAACUCCUACGGGAGGCAGCAGUAGGGAAUCUUCCACAAUGGACGAAAGUCUGAUGGAGCAAUGCCGCGUGAGUGAAGAAGGGUUUCGGCUCGUAAAACUCUGUUGUUAAAGAAGAACACCUUUGAGAGUAACUGUUCAAGGGUUGACGGUAUUUAACCAGAAAGCCACGGCUAACUACGUGCCAGCAGCCGCGGUAAUACGUAGGUGGCAAGCGUUGUCCGGAUUUAUUGGGCGUAAAGCGAGCGCAGGCGGUUUUUUAAGUCUGAUGUGAAAGCCUUCGGCUUAACCGGAGAAGUGCAUCGGAAACUGGGAGACUUGAGUGCAGAAGAGGACAGUGGAACUCCAUGUGUAGCGGUGGAAUGCGUAGAUAUAUGGAAGAACACCAGUGGCGAAGGCGGCUGUCUAGUCUGUAACUGACGCUGAGGCUCGAAAGCAUGGGUAGCGAACAGGAUUAGAUACCCUGGUAGUCCAUGCCGUAAACGAUGAGUGCUAAGUGUUGGAGGGUUUCCGCCCUUCAGUGCUGCAGCUAACGCAUUAAGCACUCCGCCUGGGGAGUACGACCGCAAGGUUGAAACUCAAAGGAAUUGACGGGGGCCCGCACAAGCGGUGGAGCAUGUGGUUUAAUUCGAAGCUACGCGAAGAACCUUACCAGGUCUUGACAUCUUCUGCCAAUCUUAGAGAUAAGACGUUCCCUUCGGGGACAGAAUGACAGGUGGUGCAUGGUUGUCGUCAGCUCGUGUCGUGAGAUGUUGGGUUAAGUCCCGCAACGAGCGCAACCCUUAUUAUCAGUUGCCAGCAUUCAGUUGGGCACUCUGGUGAGACUGCCGGUGACAAACCGGAGGAAGGUGGGGAUGACGUCAAAUCAUCAUGCCCCUUAUGACCUGGGCUACACACGUGCUACAAUGGACGGUACAACGAGUCGCGAAGUCGUGAGGCUAAGCUAAUCUCUUAAAGCCGUUCUCAGUUCGGAUUGUAG